GACGAACGCUGGCGGUGUGCUUAACACAUGCAAGUCGAACGGUAAGGCCCUUUCGGGGGUACACGAGUGGCGGACGGGUGAGUAACACGUGAGUAACCUGCCCUCAUCUCUGGGAUAACAGUCGGAAACGGUUGCUAAUACUGGAUAUGAGCUUGCAAGGCAUCUUGUGGGUUGGAAAGAUUUUUUUUGGUUGGGGAUGGGCUCGCGGCCUAUCAGCUUGUUGGUGAGGUAGUGGCUCACCAAGGCUUCGACGGGUAGCCGGCCUGAGAGGGCGACCGGCCACAUUGGGACUGAGAUACGGCCCAAACUCCUACGGGAGGCAGCAGUGGGGAAUAUUGCACAAUGGACGGAAGUCUGAUGCAGCAACGCCGCGUGCGGGAUGACGGCCUUCGGGUUGUAAACCGCUUUCAAUUGUGACGAAGCUUUUUUGUGACGGUAGCAGUAGAAGAAGCACCGGCUAACUACGUG
rnacentral:rRNA from 1 species